rnacentral:rRNA from 1 species
AUUGAACGCUGGCGGCAGGCCUAACACAUGCAAGUCGAACGAGUGGCGGACGGGUGAGUAAUGUCUGGGAAACUGCCUGAUGGAGGGGGAUAACUACUGGAAACGGUAGCUACUACCGCAUACCAUCGGAUGUUCCCAGAUGGGAUUAGCUAGUAGGUGGGGUAAAGGCUCACCUAGGCGACGAUCCCUAGCUGGUCUGAGAGGAUGACCAGCCAAACUUGAACUGGGACACGGUCCAGACUCCUACGGGAGGCAGGAGUGGGGAAUAUUGCAAAAGGGGCGAAAGCCUGAUGCAGCCAUGCCGCGUGUAUGAAGAAGGCCUUCGGGUUGGAAAGUACUUUCAGCGGGGAGGCGUUACCCGCAGAAGAAGCACCGGCUAACUCCGUGCCAGCAGCCGCGGUAAUC